ACCGGUUGCUGAAGACAACAGUCUGGAAAAAUCUUGCGAGCCUUUAAAAGGGUUCGCUCAUAACAGCCGGCACUGUUGAUGUACGCCUACUAAGAAUUUGCGUAGCUCUGAUAGUGUUUUCUUUCUUUUUUUCUACUUUUUAAAAUUUAUUUUGCCUGUGUGUCGCAGGAUAUACGUGUAUAUACUUUUUUGUCAUCUGCUGUGCCCGUUCAUUGGAGUAAUGACUGUCCCGAUUUAUAGCAGUGGCACAGUAGCCACUGCGAGCGAUUUACAAAGACUACAUAGCCUCCUGAUACCCGAAGACAGCUCAGGGACAUGAUUACUUCUCUAGUCGAGUUUAUGUUAGGGUAUUUUAAGCACCUGAAAAAGUCUAUGGGCAUUGUCUAAAAUAUGGUGGUCAUACGUGUUUCGGGCUCCGCAAUCACUUCGGCUAACGCAGUUCGCAAGCCUUCGAGAUCCGUUCCUGUUCAGAGAGGCAACCGUCGCUGGGGCUUUGAUUCGGGUACCAGACCCACCUAUUUCUUGCUUAAAUACCUCGGUUGAGUACUGAAAUCAACAUUUCCGCGCACUUUCGACAAGGUAUCUCUCUUCUCAUAAUUAUGAUUAUAAGCCGAUUUUUCUUCGUCAGAGCACAAAGAUGAAAAUGUCACAUCGUGUGGUGGGUGCGCCGUAUUCAUGCUGCAUCCUGUAUUUUAUGCCAUAUCGCGGUAUACGUGAUGUCUAAAACAUGGUGUCUAUGACGUGUUUUCGGCUCCCGAAUCGCUGCCAGCGUGUGCACUCGGCAGUAGCGUAGCCUUUGAGAUUCGUUUCCGUUAUCCACAGAGCCGUCGCUAGGGCGGCUAGGCGGGUGCUUACCGUCGUCUGUGACGGCAAUACGGUUUAGAUCAAAUCUCUGGAAUGUUGAUGGUAGGAAUACGGUGAAACCACUUUCAUGCCGAUCCACUUCAUCUUGACUUCAUUUCCGGAAUGAAUAUUUUUGCGUAAUCGCCCGAGCCAACAUUGGAAAGGAUAGAUGUGAAAGUGCAAUAUUAGUUAUGUAGAAGGGUUGUCGGAAGGGUAGUGUUGUGUGUGUGCGCCUGUCGUACGGCUGUCAGAAGUUUCGUAUCCCCCGUCACAGACGCACGCCCCAAUCGCAGCGCGAUCGGUGUAUUCGUCUACGCGCACUCAACUUUAUGGGAGAUACCCAAGUUCACUCUCUCAUAGGCGCACGUCACGCAGGUUUCUAGCUGUACUUACCGUUACGCGGUUUCAGAGAACACGCUUUUCGCAUUGAGCUGUUCAAGGAGCGUGAAGAUUCGUGGCGUGUCCUUUCCUAAGACAACGUGUCUACGUGAGCCGCGUGCGUGGUAGUUCAGCCGGUGUAAAUGAUGCAUAGAGGGGGCAUCGCGCAGCGCAAUUGAAGCCAGAAGAGUCGGCCCAACGCGUGGUACCCAUCUUUGGGUGCUAGCAGGUCGAGAAGCGGAGUAAGCAAGAAAUGUGACAGCACGUCAGGCACGUCUUGGCGUCGGACGUCAAAGCGAUAACAGUGAUAAACCGGUGAAAAACAGUCGCGGUCAAAAAGCAAGACAGGGUGCGCUUGAUAAUACCGUGCACUGACGUCAUCCUAGCCGCCACGUGUAGGUACUAGAGCGGUGAGAGGUCAGCGCGCGCUCUUCCGAAAAGUCGGUGGGUGCGGAAGGAACGAGUGGCUGCCGCAGUGGCACGUUCACCAAAGUGUAAGUAAUACUCGGGGCUAAGUUCACUUUUGGCACACAACAAACAAACGUUGCAGCUACGGCGAUGAAUGUACUCAUUGCAAUGUAAGCGACUCUAGCUGCGCGAACAUAUCGAAAGAGAACGUGCACAGAGUGGUUGGCGAGGCACCCGAACAAGUGUGCGUCCAUUAAAACCUACCGCGAACCAAGCCAGCUGGGCAGAGUCUGCCGGGGAGGAGGAGAAGACACGUAAGAAAGAAAGUAAAUGUCGUCCGUUCAGGGACCGCGCUGGCGUUGUUCUCCAGUGAUUUCCCGAUGAAUUCCGCCGGGUACACGCGUUGUGCCGACUUUAUGAGAGAGGAAAAAAGCAAGGAGGAUUGUUGCACGAAAAGAUAGCUUGGGAUGGCUGGCUGCGUGACAUAGUGCUUCCUCAUAGUUUUAUUUAUUUCUUCUACGGAGUGAGGGGUAUGUGAAUGGAUUUGUCUAAACUUCGUUCUUCUGGCUUCGGACGGCUUUGUGACGACUCCGCAAAUUCGUUAUUAUGAUGUUUCUCUGUAUCGAAGCGUCGCGUAGUGCUUGAACAACUGACAAGACCGUCGAGGUUGCUUAGUGGUUAUGGCGUCACGCUGCAGAGAUCGAGAUAACGGGUUUUAUCCCGGUCGUAUUUUAAAAAUUAAUAUAAGUUAUGGGGUUUUGCGUGCCAAAACCACUAUCUGAUUACGUGGCGCGCCGUAGCGGGGGAGGGCUCCGGAUUAAUUUGGACCACCUGGGGUUCUUUAACGUGCUUAGACCUAAAUCUUUAAGUACACAGGUGUUACACUAUCUGUGAUGGUAGACUAUCUCGUCAGGGUCAAAGGAAUCGGGUAAGGGUCAAAGAACGACUAAGUGCUGACAAGAAACAUUUCACAGCAAAAGGCCACGUGUUUUAUAUCUUUUUUUUUUUCUAUGGAAUCUAGUAAGAGUGCCGGACGAUGCAUUUACGUAUCUGGAAACGCCUCAGCUAUCGCCGUUCGGUCGAAUUCAGGUGUUAGAUUUCUUUAGAUUGCUUGCUGUUAGUUCCGUAUGUAAAAAAAGUACUGGUAUUUGUGGGAGCCGUUAUUCGACGUCAUGACAGUCGUCUUCGUGAACAUUCCUUGUAGUGUAAAUAUAGAAAUCGUGUUCCUGUUUUGAGCAACGAUGUUCCGUCAGUAUCGGCAGUCUAUAUGAAAUUGCAUGCCUGUCUUGUUUUUUCUUCGUGUACUCUUUUAAGCGUUCCAACCUGUUGUCUACGUGCGUUAUCGCCUUCUUGUCUGUCACUAUAAUUCCCAAUGACUCGCGAAAUACAUCAUCAUUGUGUGCAAUCUUCACCGAUCGGAUCACGACGCGUUUCCUUUUUUUUUUUUUUUUCUCGCCCUCUUGUCACCAAGUCGUAAGGCAAAGGGCGGAGUGCAUUCUGAGAUCGAUGACGUUAUCGGCGUUCGGCAGUUGCUUCCUCUCUACGGUGUACAUAUUACUGGCCCGAAGCUCACCCCGCUACCGAAGGGACUAAUGCCUUAUUAUGCCUCUGGACAUGGCCGCAAACGCAAUAACGUACUACAUGCGUAUACAUACACUUCGUCUGUAGUAGUCCUUGCACCUUUCGUUAAAAAAUACGUUCGUUGCAUGCUUUACCAUGCCCGUGUUGCUCUCGUUGAUGGGCGCUUUGAUUUUCGCGCGUUUUUUACUAUUUUAGCGCCUUUCGUAUAGUUCCUCGGAAAUAGCGUUAGGAGACUGUUAGAUACGGCCGGGCGAGUCCCAGUGUUUGAUUUGCGCGGGCAAAGUUUCUGACGUCACCGAAAGCAAAUGCGUGAAAGGCUGUGCGAAGCGCGAGCCUCGUUGCCUCUUCUCGUGGCUUGCUGCCAUUGCUGCUGAGAAGACGGUCGCGAGUUGACUCCUGGUAACGGGGCGGCGCGGUCACGUUCAGACGUUAGUAGAAGCGCAGGAAAGCCCGCGUUUUGAGAUCGCGUUACAGAGUAACUAGGAAGUUGAAAUUCACGCUGGCGUCCGUUCGUGGCUUUUGCGAAUGUUCCGAACGCCGCGACUGAUGAACACUGGGACUCGCCUUUUCGUUAUUUCGUGAGGGAUGUGAUCGAAAUGAAAGUGUAUGACAAAUGCACUGUCCCGGUGAUGUGUUUACUUUUUUAUUCUUUUUUUGCUCGUCACUGUAUAUUGCGGGCUGUUUGUGCUUGUGGAGCUGGGAGAGAGAGAGAGCUUCUUUUUUGUAUGUGUGCGCGUCCCAGUGUGUGACCGUUGACUUUGAAGAGUUUGCGCACGCCAGCGAUCAAAUGAGCAGGGACGUAGCCAGCGUGUUUAAGCUGCGUCCGGUCCUACUGCUCUAAUGCCGGUGACUUCGUAAUUUGUUUUGUACAUACACUCACAUUUUAUUCCUUAUUUACGCGUUUCGGUGUUACAAGAAAAAAAGAAAAAGCCGGUGCAGAGCCGAAGAGAGAGAGAAGGGGAGAAAGAGAGAGAGAGAGCAAUACAUCACCUCGAGUGCGUAGCAAGCUGUUCGACUGAUGUAAAUACAUUGUGCGUUGGCGGCAUUGGAGGACAUGACGGACUCACGGACAAAUAUACACACACACACUCAUGUCAAUAUAACAAAGCACACCACGUAGUCGCCUCAUCGGCCGAAAACAAAGCGAAUCCGAUGACUAAAGCAAUAACUCUAUAGAAAGGGCAAGGUGUAUAGAACGCCUCCCGCGAGGGGGCGCCACUCGUCUCGUUAUUUUUUAUUCUUCGCGACCUCUCUGUGCUCGUGUGUGUGUCAUCGCGACGCGAACGCCACCGCGUGCAAGCGGGAAAGCCAGUCGAACCCGGAUAUAUCGAACCCGCACAAAGCGAAUUAUUGUGUACAUCGAACAGCUGUAAAGUCCCCUUGAACAUUUUUUUAUACAAUUUUUAUUUUGUAUAUCGAAUUAGCUAUAUAUCGAACCCCUUCAGAUUCGAUAUAUCCGAGUUCGACUGUAUAAAGGGGCCCCUGUCGCCAACGGUUGCAGUUUCUAUUGUUCCCUACUAUUUUAGUUUCUUGUCUCUACUGAAGCUACCCGUUCUACGGAUGUUCGUGGUGACGCGUGGGAGGUGAGGCUUUAGUAAUUGAGACACUAAAGAGCGCAACGCUGGAUCAGGCGAGAGUAAAAAAAAGUGCGUAUUCUUUCAAAUCUCUUUUAGUUCAUUCGGUGGAAAAACGCUGAUUACUAGCGGGGUAUACGAAAGCGGAACUCACUCCCCUCUCCCCCUCCUUACUAUUCUGUCAGCACCGCCACGUCAUCGGGACGUCAGCGAUUUCAGCUAAUUAUUAUUCGGCCCGUUUUGACGCAGGAAAAAACUGUCUUAGCUGCAUCUUUGGUUUCUUUAGAUUGCAAUAUAGUCCUCUUUUACCGGUAAGCAAUUUAACUAGACGCGAGUAGCAGCUGUUAAAAUUGAUGACGUCAGGGCUAGUGGUGCAGGAAUUUCACGGUGGCGUCGCCACCCGCGUUUAGCUUUCGCAUCUUUUCUUGCUUACUGUAAACUUGCUCUCGUGGUAAGCGCGGCCACUUUGCUAUUAUAGAAGCGUAUUUUACCAAUACAGCUUAAUAUUAAUGUUCCUUGCGAGGGGCCCCUUUAUUAAGCUUGGCUAGCGCUGCUGCCGUGACCGAUUUCGGGUCGCUUUCCUGUAACGGUUUGCUAGAUUGCUCUAGCGCGAUUGGUGAAGACCUUGAAAUUGGUUCGCUUGGUUGGUUCGUACUUGGUGUGCGAAUCCAGAGCAUGACUCUAACGAAGGCGGAAGAACACAGAGACGUGCGAUUAGCUCUGAGAGUCCGCGUGUGUUUGUCAGCGCUUAUGACUGGCGCAAGACAGGGGUAAUUGGAGAUCGCAGGGAUGAUGGUGCUGACUGGCGCCGAUAGCUGUGCGCCGUAUUCGUGAGCGCUUAUGGCUACCGCUGACAGUCCUGUCUUCGUCAGUUCUAGUUAUGUCUUGGCGUUCUUCCGUCUUGGUCCCAGUCCCAGACGCGAUUGGCUGCACCGUCUUGACACCAGCGAAAUGCACCUGAGUAGACGAACCGUUAACGGAAAGUGGCCUCCUACUAUACAUCCUGCUUUGGGGAGAGAGCGGCUGUCCGGGCGUUUCGGUUAAGUCGAGACUUACGCACGAAGAUGACAGUUGAUGUGCUUCUCGUAUUGCAGUCUUCGGUUACGGCCGCAGUUGCUGGAACGCGGUGUGUCAUAUGUGAUCCCGCGGUUACGUGUGUUCGUGGUGCGCGCGCGAGUUUGUUACGUUUUUCUUUUUUUUUCCUGCUGGACACAAUACCGGUGCUGGUGCGGCCUGUUCGCUUCGCGGGCCACCUCUGAGACAGUUUGCCGUCGUAAAUACUUUUUUUUUUUUUCGACGUGGGCACAUGUGUGGACAUGAGGUGCGCGCGUUGCGUCGCCAAAGAAAUGCACUGCCUCGGAGCCAGCGUUAAGCCGGACGAUACCGUUGUCCCGGUUUGUUUGUCAUGCGGGUUUUGUUUCUUGCGUUUGUCUGAUGAUCAUUGUGCGGCGACCAGAUGGUGAGGGUUUCUAAUGCGCGGCUUCGCUUCUUUUGCAAAAAAGCAGUGGAGGGUAGGGGCUGGGGUAAUGGCCAGAAUGUGGACAUUGCUGAGACACUCGGGUAAACAGAUUCAACCGCCGCUUCUAGAUAUUCAGCUUGUAGCUCCCGUUGUCGGCGACCUUCACGUGACCUUGAGCCAAAAGCUGGAUCCAACAUCCGGGCACUCAAACGAGAACAUCCGCGCAUCGUUGCGAGAACAAAACGAGAUCAUCCGGGCAACCAGUCAAAAGUUAGGAAAAUGUGGUCUCUGGCCCGCAACCCUUUGUACAGACCGCAUUACAUAUGCUAGAUACUUCCGAACAAGUUACAAAAAAUAUUGCUUCCGAUUUAUUCCUAAUGUUUGUUCACGAUAUCUCUCAAGCUGUAACUUCUAGUACGCUGAAGUCUUAUUUGUCAUUUCCAAUAGCGACGCUCAAAAGGCAGAUCGGUUUCCUGUGCUCUUUCGAACGCCAGCGGUCCGUGAGUCGUGAGCGGUCUGCGACAAGGAGAAAAAUUAGCGACGGACGCUGAGCGCGCUGCACUGUUGGAAGAAGAAAAGCGGUUGAAGGCAGUGGCACCACAGGGAGCAAAAGACGCCACAUGGUGCUCAUUUCAUGCUUGCAUUCACCCUCGGUUACGAGAGAGCCAGCAAUCAUUUUUUAAAUGGAGAGUAGAUGCGGUGGUUUGUCAUAUGGAAAGCUGUUAGAUUGGUUAUCCUACAUAUGUAGUAGGCGCUGCCGUAACCGUUCCUCUUAUCUCUUGUGCUCGUAGGUAAGUUCUAUUACUGCGCAGCAAAAAAGAAAAAGCCAAUUCACUACUGGCUGUUACGUAAAGUGAUUGUCAGUUGCAUAAACACGAAACAAUGUGUUCAUAAAUUUUAGAGCUGAGUUCUGUGGAUUAUAUUGGCCCAAAAAAAAAAUGACGCACACUAAGUUUGAUUGAAAGUUAAAAACUGUAAAAUAAAUUGCAACUUGCCGGUCAGCUACCCGUCGCAUUGUAUGCGUUUGGAUAACUUCGAAUGCGUUAGUUGAACUAACGUUAAAUUGCUUAUUCACAGGAUCUGUCCAGGCUUCAUGCAAUACUGCUGAUCGUUCGGAUGCCUUAUUCACAUUUUCAGCUUUGACCUUGUCGUUGUGCUGGAUCCCUAAAACAAAGAAAGAAACGGGCAGUGAUUCUAUGCCACUAAUGCCGGCAGCAAAUAUGCUUUGUGUUAUGAGAGUGUCGCUGCAGAAUUUAUUGCUUGAUCUACCGGCGUAGAAGGUAGUAGUGCAUUUUCGGCUUUCCCAUCUGGUCGCCGUUGUCAUUAACGUUCCUCGCUCAGUGCUUUAUUGUGUCUUUGUUCCAUCUUUUAAACUACGAGUCGCCAGUGGAGACGACCUUCCGUGUAAGGCGGCUGUGUUUUAAAAGCCGUGAAGUGCAAGAGAGUAGUGUCGCGCGCAGCCUCACUGGUCUCCCGUAUGCGUCUACUACACGGGUACCAAGCAAGCUGGGGAGACGGUGUGGCCUGCAAUAACUAUAGUAAUAAUUAUUAUAUAGUAAUAACAGUAACAAUAACGACGACGAUGCAGAGGAGCCGUGGAGGAAGAGUUGCUUCCUCGGUGGUCCGAGGGAGCGGGUCGCCCUCUUCAUUUGUGAUAACACGUUGCGCCCGCUAGGUGGCGCUGCCCCAGCUCAAGGGCCCGCCCCCCCCCUCCCCUCCUUCCUGUCUGACCUGGGCCGGCGCGACACCCAUCCAAAGACAGAGGCGGCGAUGGCCGCCACGUUGGGCCUAGCUCACAGCACCUUUCGCUUUAUAUACAUAGAGAAGAGAAAGAGACGACAGAGUUAUACUCAAAGUUCUUCUUGGGCCCUCCGUCUCUCGCGUUUGUUUCCUUCUCUUUAUUUUUUUUUUUUCUCGGGGCAUUCACACAGCCGGGGGAGGGCCAGGGAGAGGAGGGGAUCGCAGGGAAAGGGCUUAGAAGCCCCUUUGUUCCGAGGUUUGUGCGAGGAAGGGAGCCCACCUUUCGCAGAUGUUGGUCGGGUAUCUCUCUGCCGAGUCUUUUUACUUUUGACCUGUUUUUUUGUUCGCGGUUACUAAUAAAACCGAAUGUUCUUGAA